AUGAAGACCAAGGUGAUCUGGCGAGAACAGCAGGAUCCCAGUUACAGGAAAAUGCUUAGUUAACCUGUUGGGCUUCUUUGGCUAAUUAUCGGCUUCCCAUCUCAACAUCUCAAAUGAAUAUGUGUUUUCAUGUGGGUUGGAAGGAGUCAGUAUUUUAGUUUAGUUUAGUUUUGCAGUUUUGUUUUGUUUUGAUUUGAUUUGUUCUGAGAAAUGCAGGGGCACAGAAGGGAGGGCUACAAAGAGACAAUUACAUUUUCUAAAACAUCCGAUCUCCACACUAUCAUCAUUAAUCCCCAGGAAAGGAGGUUUCCUGCUCUGUAGUACUAGCCUCUCUGACCUUCCUAAUGCCCUGGACCUCUGUCUGGAGAUGAAACCUAGAACUUACUCAGUCUGUGAAGGUGUUGUACCACUGAUCUGAAUCCCUGGGCCCUGGGCCACCAACAAGAGGUCUCCUAACAUAGCUCAGGCUGGGCUUUCAUUCACAUCAAGUUCCAGCCUCCUGAUUACUUUGCAGCUUGGCUAUGGAAUCACGGUUAGACCUUAUGCUGGUGACUGAGAGAUUUGUGCCACCUCAUGGAAGAGUCCAGAACUGCAGCUUGAACACAGAUGGCAGAAAAAAGGAGGAGCACUGAAUCCAGACCUUUUCUGACUCCAGCCAGACCUGAUAUAAGCCCCCUCUGGUACAAGUUAAAAUGGCCACAAGCCUGGAUCCAUGCUGAAAAUAUAAGGAGAGAAACACAAGGAAACCUGAAAUCAACCCUGACAGCACAAAGUGUCUGCACACAUUUGCUGCAACACUGCCACCAGCCAUUCCGGCUACUCAAGCUCUCAGGAUAUUAGUUCUAAAAUAGAGGUAGACAAGGAAUGCAUGUUCCUGAGGGCUAGAACUUUUCCAAGAUAAGGCAAUCCUCCUAAGACUCUCAACCUGCAACAUUCCAAUGUCUGCACAGUACUGCAAUCCUAGUCAGACAAUCCGUCUCUGCAAACACAGCUUCUUCAGAAGUCUUCACACACAAACCCUGGACAUUUUAAACAUUUCCAAACUCCUCGAAAGUGUGGUAUCUCUAAGUAGACCUGUCAACACCCCUGUUACAGGAUUAAUGGCAACAGGAAGGAUGUAAAGGAUACAUUUAUAAAGUCAUUUUCUACACCCGGUCCUCUAAUGCAAUCCUCAGAACACAGCAGGGGUGGCAGUUAUCUUCAGUACUAUUCAGUUAUCCCACCAGAACUUGAAUUUAAAACUAGCAACCCAAAUAAAUCCACC